GUGCCAGCCGCUGCGGUAAUACGGAGGGUGCAAGCGUUAAUCGGAAUUACUGGGCGUAAAGCGCACGCAGGCGGUCUGUCAAGUCGGAUGUGAAAUCCCCGGGCUCAACCUGGGAACUGCAUUCGAAACUGGCAGGCUAGAGUCUCGUAGAGGGAGGUAGAAUUCCAGGUGUAGCGGUGAAAUGCGUAGAGAUCUGGAGGAAUACCGGUGGCGAAGGCGGCCUCCUGGACGAAGACUGACGCUCAGGUGCGAAAGCGUGGGAGCAAACAGGAUUAGAUACCCUGGUAAGUCACGCCGUAAACGAUGUCGACUUGGAGGCUGUGCCCUUGAGGCGUGGCUU
rnacentral:rRNA from 1 species